UACGUAGGGGGCAAGCGUUGUCCGGAGUUACUGGGCGUAAAGCGCACGCAGGCGGUUGUGCAAGUGUGAGGGGACAGCUCCCGGCUUAACUGGGAGAGCGUCUCAUAGACUGCAGGACUUGAGGGCCAGAGAGGGACAUGGAACUCCGGGUGGAGUGGUGAAAUGCGUAGAGAUCCGGAAGAACACCAAAGGCGAAGGCAGUGUCCUGGCUGGUACCUGACGCUCAGGUGCGAAAGCGAGGGGAGCGAACGGG
rnacentral:rRNA from 1 species